UGUGCAUUCCAGGCCUUCAGGGUGAAGUAACAAUCUCCUCGAUCGGCAAGGAGAAAAAUGGGUAGACCUCCAGGCUUCGAUUUGAAGGAGAUAUCAACCUCAUCGAAUCCCUUGCAGGCCUUCUGGUUGGCUUUUGGAUAAAUCACAGUGCCAACUAAAGUCCCUCCAUACUGAGGAACCCCAAAAUUCCCAAUAGCACAUUCAUACACCCCCUUCACUGAAUCUGGCAAAGUAACU
rnacentral:misc_RNA from 1 species